GGGGAGGAGGAAGCAGACGGAACGCUGGAGAGAGGACUCCUUCUCUCUCUCCAUCAUUAGGAGUCUUCUCUCCAGCGUUUCGUCUGCUUCCUCCUCCCCG
rnacentral:pre_miRNA from 1 species